AUUGAACGCUGGCGGCAGGCCUAACACAUGCAAGUCGAGCGGAUGAAGGGAGCUUGCUCCUGGAUUCAGCGGCGGACGGGUGAGUAAUGCCUAGGAAUCUGCCUGGUAGUGGGGGAUAACGUCUGGAAACGGGCGCUAAUACCGCAUACGUCCUGAGGGAGAAAGUGGGGGAUCUUCGGACCUCUCGCUAUCAGAUGAGCCUAGGUCGGAUUAGCUAGUUGGUGGGGUAAAGGCCUACCAAGGCGACGAUCCGUAACUGGUCUGAGAGGAUGAUCAGUCACACUGGAACUGAGACACGGUCCAGACUCCUACGGGAGGCAGCAGUGGGGAAUAUUGGACAAUGGGCGAAAGCCUGAUCCAGCCAUGCCGCGUGUGUGAAGAAGGUCUUCGGAUUGUAAAGCACUUUAAGUUGGGAGGAAGGGCAGUAAGUUAAUACCUUGCUGUUUUGACGUUACCAACAGAAUAAGCACCGGCUAACUUCGUG
rnacentral:rRNA from 1 species